GUUUCUAUAGUUGAAUAACAACGUUGAUUUUUCGAGUCAAUAGGUUUGGGUGAGUUAGGCCCAAUAGAAAUG
rnacentral:tRNA from 1 species